rnacentral:lncRNA from 1 species
AUAGCUAUGCAGUUUUGUAGCUUCGGCGCUCCUCGGACAAAAUUUACAUUCGGAUACCCUCGGUAGCACAUGGGAUAUUUUGGCCGCCAUAUUGCCCCUUUGCCGGCUGCAGAGAUGAAGCGUAACUGGCUUUUAUUACCUCUAACCAGAUCAUAUUCCUGCUGUGACAUAUGGACAGGUGUAUUUAGGUCCGCAACCUGGUCAAUAUCCCAGUAAGCAGGUAAUGGUGUACAUGUAAUGAUCUUUACAGAUUUGUGUGGUAUGGUGACUGCUUGAGGUCAAAAUUUAAUCUGUCGGUGAAGUACUGAAGGAUCAAAUGAUG